AGACAGCAGUCGCCGCGGGAAUACGUAGGUGGCAAGCGUUGUCCGGAAUUAUUGGGCGUAAAGCGCGCGCAGGCGGAUAGGUCAGUCUGUCUUAAAAGUUCGGGGCUUAACCCCGUGAUGGGAUGGAAACUGCCAAUCUAGAGUAUCGGGGAGGAAAGUGGAAUUCCUAGUGUAGCGGUGAAAUGCGUAGAUAUUAGGAAGAACACCAGUGGCGAAGGCGACUUUCUGGACGAAAACUGACGCUGAGGCGCGAAAGCCAUGGGAGCGAACGGGAUUAGAUACCCCAGUAGUCCCUGUCUCUUAUACA
rnacentral:rRNA from 1 species